GGAUGUGAGGGCAAUUUGGCUGUGAUAUCGGUCACCCCACUGGCUGUCAGGGUUGAUUUGGCUCAUCUGGCUGGCUAGGCAGGUGUCCCCUUCCUUUCUCAGUGCUCCAUGUGCCUCUCUCCAGAAACUGCAUGCUUGGUGAAGGAGGAUGGCCUUCCCCGAAGAGAGACAGACAGGACUUUGGUCGAGGGUAUAUGAGUAGCUGCACUCCCCUGCUAGAACCUCCAAACAAGCUGUCAAGAAUUGGUGGGUCAUAAUAGAAUUUGUAAUAGUCUUCACAAUAAAGUCUUAUUUGUAAAUUUUGUGCAAUAAACACAUCUU
ensembl:misc_RNA 7SK 7SK RNA